AACGAACGCUGGCGGUAUGCUUAACACAUGCAAGUCGAACGAACAAAAUUGGGGCUUGCUCCAAUUUUAGUGAGUGGCAAACGGGUGAGUAACACGUGGGAAUCUACCUAUCAGUACGGAAUAACAUUUGGAAACAGAUGCUAAUACCGUAUAUUCUCCAAGGAGGAAAGAUUUAUCGCUGAUAGAUGAGCCCGCGUAAGAUUAGGUAGUUGGUAGGGUAAUGGGCCUACCAAGCCGACGAUCUUUAGCUGGUGUGAGAGCACGACCAGUCACACGGGCACUGAGACACGGGCCCGACUCCUACGGGAGGCAGCAGUAAGGAAUAUUGGUCAAUGGACGCAAGUCUGAACCAGCCAUGCCGCGUGAAGGAUGAAGGUCCUCUGGAUUGUAAACUUCUUUUAUAUGGGACGAAAAAGGCGAUUCUUGCUCACUUGACGGUACCAUAGGAAUAAGCACCGGCUAACUCCGUGCCAGCAGCCGCGGUAAAGAG
rnacentral:rRNA from 1 species